GGGUUGUGAGGUUAAGCGACUAAGCGUACACGGUGGAUGCCCUGGCAGUCAGAGGCGAUGAAGGGCGUGCUAAUCUGCGAUAAGCGCCGGUAAGGUGAUAUGAACCGUUAUAACCGGCGAUACCCGAAUGGGGAAACCCAGUGUGAUUCGUCACACUAUCAUUAACUGAAUCCAUAGGUUAAUGAGGCGAACCGGGGGAACUGAAACAUCUAAGUACCCCGAGGAAAAGAAAUCAACCGAGAUUCCCCCAGUAGCGGCGAGCGAACGGGGAGGAGCCCAGAGCCUGAAUCAGCAUGUGUGUUAGUGGAAGCGUCUGGAAAGGCGCGCGAUACAGGGUGACAGCCCCGUACACAAAAGCGCAUGUGCUGUGAGCUCGAUGAGUAGGGCGGGACACGUGGUAUCCUGUCUGAAUAUGGGGGGACCAUCCUCCAAGGCUAAAUACUCCUGACUGACCGAUAGUGAACCAGUACCGUGAGGGAAAGGCGAAAAGAACCCCGGCGAGGGGAGUGAAAAAGAACCUGAAACCGUGUACGUACAAGCAGUGGGAGCACAGGUUUACCUGUGUGACUGCGUACCUUUUGUAUAAUGGGUCAGCGACUUAUAUUCUGUAGCAAGGUUAACCGUAUAGGGGAGCCGGAGGGAAACCGAGUCUUAAUUGGGCGUUAAGUUGCAGGGUAUAGACCCGAAACCCGGUGAUCUAGCCAUGGGCAGGUUGAAGGUUGGGUAACACUAACUGGAGGACCGAACCGACUAAUGUUGAAAAAUUAGCGGAUGACCUGUGGCUGGGGGUGAAAGGCCAAUCAAACCGGGAGAUAGCUGGUUCUCCCCGAAAGCUAUUUAGGUAGCGCCUCGUGAAUUCAUCUCCGGGGGUAGAGCACUGUUUCGGCUAGGGGGCCAUCCCGGCUUACCAACCCGAUGCAAACUGCGAAUACCGGAGAAUGUUAUCACGGGAGACACACGGCGGGUGCUAACGUCCGUCGUGAAGAGGGAAACAACCCAGACCGCCAGCUAAGGUCCCAAAGUCAUGGUUAAGUGGGAAACGAUGUGGGAAGGCCCAGACAGCCAGGAUGUUGGCUUAGAAGCAGCCAUCAUUUAAAGAAAGCGUAAUAGCUCACUGGUCGAGUCGGCCUGCGCGGAAGAUGUAACGGGGCUAAACCAUGCACCGAAGCUGCGGCAGCGACGUUUAUGCGUUGUUGGGUAGGGGAGCGUUCUGUAAGCCUGUGAAGGUGUGUCGUGAGGCAUGCUGGAGGUAUCAGAAGUGCGAAUGCUGACAUAAGUAACGAUAAAGCGGGUGAAAAGCCCGCUCGCCGGAAGACCAAGGGUUCCUGUCCAACGUUAAUCGGGGCAGGGUGAGUCGACCCCUAAGGCGAGGCCGAAAGGCGUAGUCGAUGGGAAACGGGUUAAUAUUCCCGUACUUGGUGUUACUGCGAAGGGGGGACGGAGAAGGCUAUGUUGGCCGGGCGACGGUUGUCCCGGUUUAAGCGUGUAGGCUGGUUUUCCAGGCAAAUCCGGAAAAUCAAGGCUGAGGCGUGACGACGAGGCACUACGGUGCUGAAGCAACAAAUGCCCUGCUUCCAGGAAAAGCCUCUAAGCAUCAGGUAACAUCAAAUCGUACCCCAAACCGACACAGGUGGUCAGGUAGAGAAUACCAAGGCGCUUGAGAGAACUCGGGUGAAGGAACUAGGCAAAAUGGUGCCGUAACUUCGGGAGAAGGCACGCUGACACGUAGGUGAAGUGAUUUACUCAUGGAGCUGAAGUCAGUCGAAGAUACCAGCUGGCUGCAACUGUUUAUUAAAAACACAGCACUGUGCAAACACGAAAGUGGACGUAUACGGUGUGACGCCUGCCCGGUGCCGGAAGGUUAAUUGAUGGGGUCAGCGCAAGCGAAGCUCCUGAUCGAAGCCCCGGUAAACGGCGGCCGUAACUAUAACGGUCCUAAGGUAGCGAAAUUCCUUGUCGGGUAAGUUCCGACCUGCACGAAUGGCGUAAUGAUGGCCAGGCUGUCUCCACCCGAGACUCAGUGAAAUUGAACUCGCUGUGAAGAUGCAGUGUACCCGCGGCAAGACGGAAAGACCCCGUGAACCUUUACUAUAGCUUGACACUGAACAUUGAGCCUUGAUGUGUAGGAUAGGUGGGAGGCUUUGAAGCGUGGACGCCAGUCUGCGUGGAGCCGACCUUGAAAUACCACCCUUUAAUGUUUGAUGUUCUAACGUGGACCCGUAAUCCGGGUUGCGGACAGUGUCUGGUGGGUAGUUUGACUGGGGCGGUCUCCUCCUAAAGAGUAACGGAGGAGCACGAAGGUUGGCUAAUCCUGGUCGGACAUCAGGAGGUUAGUGCAAUGGCAUAAGCCAGCUUGACUGCGAGCGUGACGGCGCGAGCAGGUGCGAAAGCAGGUCAUAGUGAUCCGGUGGUUCUGAAUGGAAGGGCCAUCGCUCAACGGAUAAAAGGUACUCCGGGGAUAACAGGCUGAUACCGCCCAAGAGUUCAUAUCGACGGCGGUGUUUGGCACCUCGAUGUCGGCUCAUCACAUCCUGGGGCUGAAGUAGGUCCCAAGGGUAUGGCUGUUCGCCAUUUAAAGUGGUACGCGAGCUGGGUUUAGAACGUCGUGAGACAGUUCGGUCCCUAUCUGCCGUGGGCGCUGGAGAACUGAGGGGGGCUGCUCCUAGUACGAGAGGACCGGAGUGGACGCAUCACUGGUGUUCGGGUUGUCAUGCCAAUGGCACUGCCCGGUAGCUAAAUGCGGAAGAGAUAAGUGCUGAAAGCAUCUAAGCACGAAACUUGCCCCGAGAUGAGUUCUCCCUGAGACUUAGAGUCUCCUGAAGGAACGUUGAAGACGACGACGUUGAUAGGCCGGGUGUGUAAGCGCAGCGAUGCGUUGAGCUAACCGGUACUAAUGAACCGUGAGGCUUAACCUUACAACGCCGAAG
rnacentral:rRNA from 1 species